rnacentral:rRNA from 1 species
CAGCAGCCACGGGAAUACGAAGGGGGCUAGCGUUGUUCGGAAUUACUGGGCGUAAAGCGCACGCAGGCGGCUCGAUAAAUUAGAAGUGAAAGCCUUGGGCUUAACCUGAGAAUUGCUUUUAAGACUGUCGAGCUAGAAUCCAGAAGAGGGUAGUGGAAUUCCGAGUGUAGAGGUGAAAUUCGUAGAUAUUCGGAAGAACACCAGUGGCGAAGGCGACUACCUGGUCUGGCAUUGACGCUCAUGUGCGAAAGCGUGGGGAGCAAACAGGAUUAGAUACCCCGGUAGUCCCUGUCUCUUAUAC